CCAAUAGCGUAUAUUAAAGUUGUUGCAGUUAAAAAGCUCGUAGUUGAAUUUCGGGAUCAGAUUGUCGGUCGUGCCUCGGUACGCACUGGCAUUAUUGGUUCCUACCUUCUGAAGAACCGCGAUGUCAUUAAUUUGGUGUCGUGGGGAAUCAGGACUGUUACUUUGAAAAAAUUAGAGUGUUUAAAGCAGGCGCACGCUUGAAUACAUUAGCAUGGAAUAAUGAAAUAGGACGUUUGAUUCUAUUUUGUUGGUUUCUAGGAUCGACGUAGUGAUUAAUAGGGAUAGUUGGGGGCAUUAGUAUUCAAUUGUCAGAGGUGAAAUUCUUGGAUUUAUUGAAGACUAACUACUGCGAAAGCAUUUGCCAAGGAUGUUUUCAUUAAUCAAGAACGAAAGUUAGGGGAUCGAAGACGAUCAGAUACCGUCGUAGUCUUAACCAUAAACUAUGCCGACUAGGGAUCGGAUGAUGUUGAUUUUAUAAUGACUCAUUCGGCGCCUUACG
rnacentral:rRNA from 1 species